GCUCUGGUGGUUCAGUGGUAGAAUUUUCGCCUGCCACGCUAGAGGCCCGGGUUCGAUUCCCGGCCAGUGCA
rfam:Nematostella vectensis strain CH2 x CH6 NEMVEscaffold_326_Cont23908, whole genome shotgun sequence.